AGAUAUGUCUACCCUUAUACCUGAAACAUUUUUCCUUACCCUUUCCAAGCGAGCAAUGCGAGAUUGUCUUUUGAGAAAUGUUUGUGAAGUACUUUGAAGGUGUUUGGCAAAAGAAUAAGUGUGGGGGUAUUUCAUGUUUGUUUUUAGUUAUGUGUUUAUUAAAAAAAAAAAAAAAAAAAAAAAGAGAAAAGAGAAGAAAAGAAAAAGAAAAAGAAAGAUUGUAUACAAAUGAAAUAAAAAGUUUUUAAAGUUUCAGUUUAAGGGUGUGGUUGGAGGUGCUAAAAGAAUCGUUGGAAAGAUUGAGUUCUUAUAAAUCUAAAGAAAAGAAUUGCUUGCAAUGUAGCUUGGAACUUGUGUUUACCUAUUCUUUCAUUUCAAUAACCCUCUCCCUAAACCUCAUUACAUCCAAUAAAAGUCCUCUUGAUUUAAGCUUUGCAAUUAUG
rnacentral:lncRNA from 1 species